AGCAUGUCCACACAGGUGGACCUUACAGACCCUGUAGACCACAUUGGACCUGAGAUUGUUGCCUCAAUGUCCUCACUGGAACCGUUGCUGCCGCUGUCUUGUAAUAUGUGUGGAAAUUACCAGAAAUAGUCACUUGCCUGAUAAAGG